UAAGACGAACCGUCCAAACGUUAUUCGGAAUCACUGGGCUUAAAGGGUGCGUAGGCGGUCCGGUAAGUUGGGUGUGAAAGCCCUCGGCUCAACCGAGGAAUUGCGCCCAAAACUGUCGGACUCGAGGGAGACAUAGGUGAGCGGAACUUAGGGUGGAGCGGUGAAAUGCGUUGAGAUCCUAAGGAACACCAGUAGCGAAAGCGGCUCACUGGGUCUCUUCUGACGCUGAUGCACGAAAGCUAGGGGAGCGAAGAGG
rnacentral:rRNA from 1 species